GGUAGCUCAGUGGUAGAGUGCUUGCCUUGCAUGCAUGAGGCGCUGGGUUCGAUUCCUCAGUACCA
rnacentral:tRNA from 1 species